rnacentral:rRNA from 1 species
UACGUAGGGUGCAAGCGUUGUCCGGAAUUAUUGGGCGUAAAGAGCUCGUAGGCGGCUUGUCGCGUCGGCUGUGAAAACCUGGGGCUCAACCCCGGGCCUGCAGCCGAUACGGGCAGGCUAGAGUUCGGUAGGGGAGACUGGAAUUCCUGGUGUAGCGGUGAAAUGCGUAGAUAUCGGAAGGAACACCAGUGGCGAAAGCGGCUUCCUGGUCCAGCACCGACGUCAGGCACGAAAGCGUGGGGAGCAAACAGG